UACGUAGGGUGCGAGCGUUGUCCGGAAUUAUUGGGCGUAAAGAGCUCGUAGGCGGUUUGUCGCGUCGGCCGUGAAAACUUGGGGCUUAACCCUGAGCUUGCGGUCGAUACGGGCAUGACUGGAGUUCGGCAGGGGAGACUGGAAUUCCUGGUGUAGCGGUGAAAUGCGCAGAUAUCAGGAGGAACACCGGUGGCGAAGGCGGGUCUCUGGGCCGAAACUGACGCUGAGGAGCGAAAGCGUGGGGAGCAAACAGG
rnacentral:rRNA from 1 species